UGUUAAAAUAUACAUAUAAGUAAGAAGAAAACUACUAAAUGGCAUGAUCAUAUUCAUAUUUCAUAAACAUGUUAUUUUCAUCAAAACAUCGAUGAAACUACUUUUCAUAGCAAAACAUGAAUUUUAAUUUUACAUAUGAUGAUCCUUUAUUUUAUGAAAAAUAUGAUUUUAUGAAUAACAGAGUAUAUAGAUAAAAAAUAUGAUAAUUUAAAAUUCUAUAAGGAGUGUG
rnacentral:lncRNA from 1 species